AUGGAAAAGUUAUAUGCAACAAGUGCAGACACAAAUGCUCAUCAUUUAAAUACAAGUCAUCAGAGGUCCCAUUACAUUCAUCUUCGAUACAAAGCCCUGAUAGGAAGAAAAGAGCGUCCAACGUUCAAAGCCCGCCAUCAGUUUCUUUGCCUAUACAGUCUACAGCAAAAAGCCAUGCCUACUGUGUCCUCUGCAGAAAACCCGGACCAAGAGAUGGACAUGUGUACAAAAGAUCACUCGUUCGUCAACCGAGCUACAAUCAUAGAACUACUUGAACAACUGAGAGAAGAAGCCAAUAUGAAAAGAAAGACACGUCUUGAUUUCGAUGACCCAGAAUCGAUGACAGAUGAUGAUUAUGUAACUCUGACUGGUCUCAGAAAAAGUGAUUUUGAUGACAUACUGACAUAUGUCAGCUCAGCAGAUGUUAGACCGUCAAGAUCAAGAAGCAUAAAAACAUGCAUUGCUGUACUUCUCACAAAGUUGAGGACAUCUUUGGAUAACAAACUGCUUGCUGUGCUGUUCAAUAUGUCUAAACCACAGAUCCGAUGGGUGGUAGAGUCUGUGAAUGCACGGAUAAAGACUUGGAAAUACCUAGGAAAACAGCUUCCAAAUUCACUAAUUCCUUGCAUUGGUGAUUUCGUCAGAAUAGUUAGUGCCAUUUGUAAUAAAUAUAGACCUCCUAUCAGUAAAGGGAAUGAAGAGGAAGAUUUGUGUAUGGCUUCGAAAAUGCGGUACCUCCUUUCAAGAAGCAAUGUUUUGCAACAUGAGGUGGAAUCUCUAGGCCUAGACAAGAAGUCUCAUAAGUGGACAAAACUAGAUGAAGCAGAUGCGGAUCUAGAUGACUUUCCUAGGUACACAGAAGACGAGGUCCGGGAAUUGACUCUAGGCGUUUACCAGCACAAAUUCCAGAAGCUGUUGAUGAGAGUGACAGUGGGACAGAGGUCACCGAGGAAUGACUUAUGAGUGAAAAUGAUUGGUUUCGAUCUGAAGUGAUUCACUAUUUCAAUUUGUUAACAAUUGUUUUUUAAAAUAGAUUACA
rnacentral:sRNA from 1 species